CGGAAUAUCCAUGCCUAAAGAAUCAGUGCGGGGCCAAAACCAUAAGAUUUUGUUCUGCUCAAAACUUGGAUAAACAGUAGCACAAGCCUUUGCAUUUGUGUGAACCGGUGGACCGUCGGGCGGGGCCUGGGGAAUGUACUUGCAGCUGCCGGCUCCAUCAAAGCACCAUCCAUGGUACACGCACUGCAACCGCCCCCGCUGGUCGAUCCGGCCCUCGGAUAGCGGCGCGAGACGGUGAGGGCACCGGUCAUCAAACACCUGCCACUGCGCCGCCUCGCGGUCCCACCAGACAACGACGUCG
rnacentral:misc_RNA from 1 species